rnacentral:rRNA from 1 species
GGUUCUCUCCGAAAUAGCUUUAGGGCUAGCCUCAAGUGAUGAUUAUUGGAGGUAGAGCACUGUUUGGACGAGGGGCCCCUCUCGGGUUACCGAAUUCAGACAAACUCCGAAUGCCAAAUAAUUUAACUUGGGAGUCAGAAUGUGGGUGAUAAGGUCCAUAUUCGAAAGGGAAACAGCCCAGACCACCAGCUAAGGUCCCAAAAUAUAUGUUAAGUGGAAAAGGAUGUGGCGUUGCCCAGACAACUAGGAUGUUGGCUUAGAAGCAGCCAUCAUUUAAAGAGUGCGUAAUAGCUCACUAGUCGAGUGACACUGCGCCGAAAAUGUACCGGGGCUAAACAUAU